rnacentral:lncRNA from 1 species
CAAAAAUCAGAAAUACGAUAAAACAAAUUUUUGCGCUAUAUCACAAGGUUUGCGUUUUGAACGCAAGCAAACAAACUAAGUUCAAUUUAUGUAUGUUCAAGAAAUAUGUGCAAUAUUUCAUAAGUGUGAUAAUUGUUUAACCAAUGCCUUCACCUUAGAGAUUUAAUGAUAAGGUGAAUUUAUUCACUAUUAUUUUUUUUCGCAUCAAUAAAAAAUUCAAGCUGGUCAACAAUGGUCAAGAAGUAAUAACUUUUGAUCUAUUGAAUUACAUACAUGUGUAUCUCGUAUUGUAGGGUAAUGUUUAUCUAACUUGGCAGGGGUAAAUUUAUUUGUGUUCAAUAAUUAUGUGCAAUAUUUCAUAUUUAUAUACCUAUAUGGAUUUAUUUUCGUCAGAACGAUAAGUGAUUCUUUCGAAGAAUCAACCAGGACGAUACCAUAUUUCAAUGAAGUAUGCUCCAAUGCAUUACAUAAUGGCCUAUGUGAGAUCAUUAUUUUCCUUGAUUAAAAUGCA